rnacentral:sRNA from 21 species
GUUCAUCGCCAAACCAUCCUCCUCCCAGGUUUGGCGAUAACAAGACCGGUUCUCCUCCUCCCAACACCGGUCUUACUAUAAUGGCAUCCGUCGCUCCUCCUCCCGCGACGGAUGCCAUUU